rnacentral:rRNA from 1 species
GACGAACACUGGCGGCGUGCUUAACACAUGCAAGUCUAACGAGUGGCGAACGGGUGAGUAAUACGUGGGAACCUGCCCUCCUUUUUGUGAUAAGCCUUGGAAACGGGGUCUAAUACCGAAUAAGGGGGAUGGGCUCGCGGCCUAUCAGCUUGUUGGUGGGGUGAUGGCCUACCUCGUCGACGAUCCCUAGCUGGUCUGAAAGGAUGACCAGCCACACUGGAACUGAGACACGGUCCAGACUCCUACGGGAGGCAGCAGUGGGGAAUAUUGCACAAUGGGCGCAAGCCUGAUGCAGCCAUGCCGCGUGUGUGAAGAAGGCCUUCGGGUUGUAAAGCACUUUCAGCGGGGAGGCGUUACCCGCAGAAGAAGCACCGGCUAACUCCGUGCCAGCAGCCGCGGUAAUAC